AACUCUGGUAUUGAUUGGUGCUUGCUCAUGAUUUACAUUUGAGUGAGUGGCGAACUGGUGAGUAACACGUGGGAAACCUGCCCAGAAGCGGGGGAUAACACCUGGAAACAGAUGCUAAUACCGCAUAACAACUUGGACCGCAUGGUCCGAGUUUGAAAGAUGGCUUCGGCUAUCACUUUUGGAUGGUCCCGCGGCGUAUUAGCUAGAUGGUGGGGUAACGGCUCACCAUGGCAAUGAUACGUAGCCGACCUGAGAGGGUAAUCGGCCACAUUGGGACUGAGACACGGCCCAAACUCCUACGGGAGGCAGCAGUAGGGAAUCUUCCACAAUGGACGAAAGUCUGAUGGAGCAACGCCGCGUGAGUGAAGAAGGGUUUCGGCUCGUAAAACUCUGUUGUUAAAGAAGAACAUAUCUGAGAGUAACUGUUCAGGUAUUGACGGUAUUUAACCAGAAAGCCACGGCUAACUACGUGCCAGCAGCCGCGGUAAUACGUAGGUGGCAAGCGUUGUCCGGAUUUAUUGGGCGUAAAGCGAGCGCAGGCGGUUUUUUAAGUCUGAUGUGAAAGCCUUCGGCUCAACCGAAGAAGUGCAUCGGAAACUGGGAAACUUGAGUGCAGAAGAGGACAGUGGAACUCCAUGUGUAGCGGUGAAAUGCGUAGAUAUAUGGAAGAACACCAGUGGCGAAGGCGGCUGUCUGGUCUGUAACUGACGCUGAGGCUCGAAAGUAUGGGUAGCAAACAGGAUUAGAUACCCUGGUAGUCCAUACCGUAAACGAUGAAUGCUAAGUGUUGGAGGGUUUCCGCCCUUCAGUGCUGCAGCUAACGCAUUAAGCAUUCCGCCUGGGGAGUACGGCCGCAAGGCUGAAACUCAAAGGAAUUGACGGGGGCCCGCACAAGCGGUGGAGCAUGUGGUUUAAUUCGAAGCUACGCGAAGAACCUUACCAGGUCUUGACAUACUAUGCAAAUCUAAGAGAUUAGACGUUCCCUUCGGGGACAUGGAUACAGGUGGUGCAUGGUUGUCGUCAGCUCGUGUCGUGAGAUGUUGGGUUAAGUCCCGCAACGAGCGCAACCCUUAUUAUCAGUUGCCAGCAUUAAGUUGGGCACUCUGGUGAGACUGCCGGUGACAAACCGGAGGAAGGUGGGGAUGACGUCAAAUCAUCAUGCCCCUUAUGACCUGGGCUACACACGUGCUACAAUGGAUGGUACAACGAGUUGCGAACUCGCGAGAGUAAGCUAAUCUCUUAAAGCCAUUCUCAGUUCGGAUUGUAGGCUGCAACUCGCCUACAUGAAGUCGGAAUCGCUAGUAAUCGCGGAUCAGCAUGCCGCGGUGAAUACGUUCCCGGGCCUUGUACACACCGCCCGUCACACCAUGAGAGUUUGUAACACCCAAAGUCGGUGG
rnacentral:rRNA from 1 species